UCCUCUCUCAAACCUCCUGGUUUGGCGUUGGAUCGAGUUGUGGGCAACCGCAACUGGUCUCAAAGACAAUGACGGCGUCCGUGGGACCCUCUUCGUAACGAGUCUUUUACGAGGCACGCGGGGAGUUGCAAGGUCUCGUCGGGUCGGUCUAACCUUUUAUUAUUUCUCA
rnacentral:misc_RNA from 1 species